rnacentral:rRNA from 1 species
UACGUAGGGUGCGAGCGUUGUCCGGAUUUAUUGGGCGUAAAGGGCUCGUAGGCGGCGUGUCGCGUCGGGAGUGAAAGACCGGGGCUUAACCCCGGUUCUGCUUCCGGUACGGGCAUGCUGGAGUGUGGCAGGGGAGACUGGAAGUUCCUGGUGUAGCGGUGGAAUGACGCAGAUAUCAGGAGGAACACCGGUGGCGAAGGCGGGUCUCUGGGCCAUUACUGACGCUGAGGAGCGAAAGCGUGGGGAGCGAACAGG